rfam:Candidate division WOR-3 bacterium 4484_100 ex4484_100_scaffold_31131, whole genome shotgun sequence.
GUGAGUGUAGCUCAACUGGCAGAGCAUUGGACUGUGGCUCCAAUGGUUGGGGGUUCAAGUCCCCUCACUCACC